AAACUCCAGACGAGAACGUGUCCUAAGAAGCCUCUGUGUCUACCUCAAUGAGGAUGAUGAAACUCUCAUCAAGGAAUACAUGAACCGCAACUUGGAAGAAGCGGACAGGGAGUCGGCCACCAUGGGACUUCAUGUCGUUCGGAAAGAGGGUGCUGAUGCAGGGGAAGAGCCUGAGCAUGUCGGAGUGGUGAUCGAGGGUGUGGAGCUGCUGAGCAACCUGGGAAGCGUUUCUUUUGGAUUUUCCAUGCUUUUUGGACUGAUUUACUGUCUCAACAUGAGCUACCCACAAGGGCUCAAAUUCACAUUUGAGUUCCUCCAGAAGGUGCUGAUGAACUUGGAUGGCAACAAUCUUUCUCCUAAGGUUCAAGCACUUAAAAUUAAGAUGCUCCAGUAAACUCACUUAUAGGUCUGAAGGCCUCAUGUUUUGUUUUACAUUUUAUUUUAGAUCUUAAAGAGGAUUGUCUUUUUCUCUCUCCCCACUUAAGGAACCAAAACAAACUUUAAUUUGUAUUGACAUUUGCUCAUUAACAAUAUUAUUUGUGUUAGAUAGUGGUAUAUUCAGACAAAUCUUGUUCAUGGGUCAAGAUCAUUCCCUUUCACUGAUGCCUGGUGCUAAUGUUCGGUGGUCAAUAUUAUUCCCUCACUGAGGCCUGCCAUUUAUUCCAGAAGCUUCCAAAUUGUGUUCAUUUAAGUGGUAUGGCGAGGCAAAAAAAACCUGAAGAGUUGUGAUGUUAAUAAAUGUUUAAUAAAUAAAUGUUUGACUUUAA